UACGUAGGGGACAAGCGUUGUCCGGAAUCAUUGGGCGUAAAGCGCGCGUAGGCGGCCCUGUAAGUCCGUUGUGAAAGUCAAAGGCUCAACCUUUGAAAGCCGAUGGAUACUGCAGGGCUAGAGUCCGGAAGAGGCGAGUGGAAUUCCUGGUGUAGCGGUGGAAUGCGCAGAUAUCAGGAGGAACACCAAUAGCGAAGGCAGCUCGCUGGGACGGUACUGACGCUAAGGCGCGAAAGCGUGGGGAGCGAACAGG
rnacentral:rRNA from 1 species